AUGGUGGAGCUACUUGGCUACAGUGAUAGCGACUUGGCAGGAGAUAUUGACGACCGUAAAAGUACCUCGGGCGUGGCAUAUUUCUUGGGAAGAAGCAUAGUGAGUUGGCUAUCACAAAAGCAGAAGGUGGUCGCAUUAUCAUCCUGUGAAGCGGAGUAUAUUGCAGCUGCAACCGCGGCAGGUCAAGGUGUGUGGCUAGAAAGGCUACUCGGUGACCUCACUGACAAGGAACCGGAAGGAGUGGUGCUUUAUGUUGACAACAAGUCCACGAUUGCUCUAUGUAAGAAUCCAGUGCAUCAUGAUAGAAGUAAGCACAUUGAUAUACGGUAUCACUACAUACGAGAUUGCGUGGAAGAAGGCAAGAUUGAAGUCAACUAUAUUUGCACCGAUGAUCAGCUUGCAGAUAUCCUGACCAAGUCUUUGGGACGACAGAAGUUCACGGAGAUGCGGGGAAGGAUCGGCGUCCAAGCUGUGAAGUGA
rnacentral:rRNA from 1 species